rnacentral:SRP_RNA from 1 species
UGCCGGUUCCCCCGCAACGCUAAGCAGCAAACCCCGCCAGGUCCGGAAGGAAGCAACGGUAGUUGUGAUGUGUGUGCCGGGGUAGGGCUGGCAGGG